rnacentral:rRNA from 1 species
CCCGGAAGGGGAGUGAAAUAGAACCUGAAACCGUGUGCUUACAAGUAGUCAGAGCCCGUUAAUGGGUGAUGGCGUGCCUUUUGUAGAAUGAACCGGCGAGUUACGAUUUGAUGCAAGGUUAAGCAGUAAAUGUGGAGCCGUAGCGAAAGCGAGUCUGAAUAGGGCGUUUAGUAUUUGGUCGUAGACCCGAAACCAGGUGAUCUACCCUUGGUCAGGUUGAAGUUCAGGUAACACUGAAUGGAGGACCGAACCGACUUACGUUGAAAAGUGAGCGGAUGAACUGAGGGUAGCGGAGAAAUUCCAAUCGAACCUGGAGAUAGCUGGUUCUCUCCGAAAUAGCUUUAGGGCUAGCCUCAAGUGAUGAUUAUUGGAGGUAGAGCACUGUUUGGACGAGGGGCCCCUCUCGGGUUACCGAAUUCAGACAAACUCCGAAUGCCAAUUAAUUUAACUUGGGAGUCAGAACAUGGGUGAUAAGGUCCGUGUUCGAAAGGGAAACAGCCCAGACCACCAGCUAAGGUCCCAAAAUAUAUGUUAAGUGGAAAAGGAUGUGGCGUUGCCCAGACAACUAGGAUGUUGGCUUAGAAGCAGCCAUCAUUUAAAGAGUGCGUAAUAGCUCACUAGUCGAGUGACACUGCGCCGAAAAUGUACCGGGGCUAAACAUAUUACCGAAGCUGUGGAUUGUCCUUUGGACAAUGGUAGGAGAGCGUUCUAAGGGCGUUGAAGCAUGAUCGUAAGGACAUGUGGAGCGCUUAGAAGUGAGAAUGCCGGUGUGAGUAGCGAAAGACGGGUGAGAAUCCCGUCCACCGAUUGACUAAGGUUUCCAGAGGAAGGCUCGUCCGCUCUGGG